rnacentral:pre_miRNA from 1 species
UCGCUCCAACCCGUAGAUCCGAACUUGUGUGUUGCCCCCAUGUGAAGCACAAGUUCAUUUCUACGGGUCCGAGUUGG